CACAGUUCAGAUGGAUAGAAACCUUUUUUUCUCUCUCUUUUUUUUUUUUUAAAGGCCUGAUUUUUAAUUGUAGCCUGAUUUUUUUAAUUUACAGCCUGAUUUUUAACUGUAGCCAGAUGAUAGCAAUUUGUUCCUGUGGCAACACUAACCUAAACAGCUCUUCUCACUCCCAGCUACUCAUGUACCUGUUAGAAAUAGUCACCUCUCCUCUCUGCCUUGGCUUCGCAAGUGAAGGAGUGAGGCUGACUCAGGUCCUGCCUGCAUCAGCAGUUUGCUGUUGGGAAGACUUCUAUCAGCGUGAGCAGCGGGCACUGAGGAGAGGCAGUACACGCGUGAUCAGGAGUUGUGAAGCUCACGACUGGGGUAUGCACUGA
rnacentral:lncRNA from 1 species